UAGUUCUCUCUUCUAGAAUACCAAACAAGCUCGGUAAGGUCCAUUUGCAGGAGAAUUUAGAGCAGUUAAGCUUUCAAAUUCCAGACACAUCAAGAUAAGGUGCUACCUAUGGCAGUCUGUCUGUCUUU
rnacentral:snRNA from 1 species